rnacentral:rRNA from 1 species
GUGGGUAACCUACCCUGUACACACGGAUAACAUACCGAAAGGUAUGCUAAUACGGGAUAAUAUAUUUGAGAGGCAUCUCUUGAAUAUCAAAGGUGAGCCAGUACAGGAUGGACCCGCGUCUGAUUAGCUAGUUGGUAAGGUAACGGCUUACCAAGGCGACGAUCAGUAGCCGACCUGAGAGGGUGAUCGGCCACAUUGGAACUGAGACACGGUCCAAACUCCUACGGGAGGCAGCAG